rnacentral:rRNA from 1 species
GAUGAACGCUGGCGGCGUGCCUAAUACAUGCAAGUCGAGCGAACGGACGAGAAGCUUGCUUCUCUGAUGUUAGCGGCGGACGGGUGAGUAACACGUGGAUAACCUACCUAUAAGACUGGGAUAACUUCGGGAAACCGGAGCUAAUACCGGAUAAUAUUUUGAACCGCAUGGUUCAAAAGUGAAAGACGGUCUUGCUGUCACUUAUAGAUGGAUCCGCGCUGCAUUAGCUAGUUGGUAAGGUAACGGCUUACCAAGGCAACGAUGCAUAGCCGACCUGAGAGGGGGAUAGGCCACACGGGAAGGGAGACACGGACAAGACGCCUAAGAGAGGCAGCAGUAGGGAAUCUGCCGCAAUGGGCGAAAGCAUGACGGAGCAAGGCCGCGUGAGUGAUGAAGGUCUUCGGAGCGUAAAAAUCUGUUAUGAGGGAAGAACAGAUGUGUAAGGAAAUGUGCACAGCGUGACGGUACCGAAUCAGAAAGCCACGGCUAACUACGUG